GAUGAACGCUAGCGGGAGGCCUAACACAUGCAAGCCGAGCGGUAGAGUUCCUUCGGGAACUUGAGAGCGGCGUACGGGUGCGUAACACGUGUGCAACCUACCUUUAUCUGGGGGAUAGCCUUUCGAAAGGAAGAUUAAUACCCCAUAAUAUAUUGAAUGGCAUCAUUUAAUAUUGAAAACUCUGGUGGAUAGAGAUGGGCACGCGCAAGAUUAGAUAGUUGGUGAGGUAACGGCUCACCAAGUCUGUGAUCUUUAGGGGUCCUGAGAGGGGGAUCCCCCACACUGGUACUGAGACACGGACCAGACUCCUACGGGAGGCAGCAGUGAGGAAUAUUGGACAAUGGGUGAGAGCCUGAUCCAGCCAUCCCGCGUGAAGGAUGACGGUCCUAUGGAUUGUAAACUUCUUUUGUACAGGAAUAAACCUAUUUACGUGUAAAUAGCUGAAGGUACUGUACGGAUAAGCACCGGCUAACUCCGUGCCAGCAGCCGCCGUAA
rnacentral:rRNA from 1 species